rnacentral:rRNA from 1 species
UACAGAGACUGCAAGCGUUAAUCGGAAUUACUGGGCGUAAAGCGUGCGCAGGCGGUUUGCUAAGACAGGUGUGAAAUCCCCGAGCUUAACUUGGGAAUUGCGCUUGUAACUGGCAAGCUAGAGUGUGGCAGAGGGGGGUGGGAUUCCACGUGUAGCAGUGAAAUGCGUAGAUAUGUGGAGGAACACCGAUGGCGAAGGCAGCCCCCUGGGCUAACACUGACGCUCAUGCACGAAAGCGUGGGGAGCAAAC